rnacentral:rRNA from 1 species
AUGGUGAAGCUGGCGACGGCGAGGGAGGCGCGGCUGUACGGGCCGGCGCUGGCGGUGCGGCGGUGGGAGUACACCAACGCCGGCGCGUACAUGUUCGGGACCCUGCUCCUGGCCGCGGGGCUCGCGGCGCUGUGCGCGUCCGAGGGCGGCGUCGGCGCCAGGGACGCCGGGCUCGCCGUGGCCGGCGUGGCGCUGGCCGUGGUGGCGGCCGUGAACGCGCACGACCUGGGCGCGCACCUCGCCGGCGUGGACUGCCGCGUCGGGCUCGCCCGGUUCGACCCCCAGCUCGGCCUCGUCGAGUUCCUCGCGCCCGCGCUCCACGCCGCCGGCUGCGUCCUCGCCAUCGUCGGCCUCGCGCUGCAGCUCUUCUCACAGGGCGACAGGCUAGAGAGGCGCGCGGCGGACGCGCUGCUGGCGGGCGCGGCGCUCUGGCUGCUGGGCUCCGUGCUCAGCUCGUGCCAGGUCUACGAGCGCGCCGACGGCCGCGCGCAGCUGCUGCAGUCCAGCGUGCAGGUGCCCGUCCUCCUCGGCAGCCUGCUCUUCCUCGUCGCCGCCGUCCUCCACCGCCGCCGUGAGCCCGCCCUGGCAGGCGAGAGGGAAAGCGAGAGCGAGAGGUGGAUUAGCCUGUGCGGGAGCGUGCUGUGGGUGGCGGGCGCACUGUUCAACGCGCUCAAGGUGUUCGUGAUGCACCAGAGCGACGCGCCGCGGCUCGAGAAGCUCCGCGGCGGCGCGCAGGAGCGGCUCGCCCGGGACCGUGAGGGCCGCGUGCCGCUGGUGUGGAGGUCGGCGGCGCCGCCCACCGAGCUGCGCUGA